AACGCACCUUGCACUCUUGGGUAUUCCUAAGAGUAUGUCUGUUUGAGUGUCGCGAAUCUAUCAAUUUCCCCUUUUUAUUUUAUUAUAAAGAGCGAUUGGAAAUUGGAUGAUGAUCCUUGUUGGUUUACUCCAACUAGAUCAAAAAACAAGAGCAGAUUGUUAUUAUAACACUAGUUCUCCUGGCUCAGCGUAAUAAUUAUUUCGUUGAGAUUAUAAAGAGUUCAUAGUUAUUUUAAUUGACAACGCUUCUAAUUAAAUUAUUUUUUUGCAUUAGACCUCAAAUCAGUCAGGACUACCCGCUGAACUUAA
rnacentral:misc_RNA from 1 species